rnacentral:rRNA from 1 species
GAUGAACGCUGGCGGCGUGCCUAACACAUGCAAGUCGAGCGAGAACCGCUGGAAUGACACUUCGGUAGAAUGAAAGCGGGGAAAGCGGCGGACGGGUGAGUAACGCGUAGGUAACCUGCCCCAUACACAGGGAUAGCCUAGGGAAACCUGGAUUAAUACCUGAUGAAGCAACUGGUCGCAUGACCGGCUGCCAAAGAUUUAUCGGUAUGGGAUGGACCUGCGUCUGAUUAGUGAGUUGGUGGGGUAAUGGCCUACCAAAGCGACGAUCAGUAGCCGACCUGAGAGGGUGAUCGGCCACAUUGGAACUGAGACACGGUCCAAACUCCUGCGGGAGGCAGCAGGUGGGGAUAUUGCACAAUGGGCGGAAGCCUGAUGCAGCAACGCCGCGUGAGCGAAGAAGGUCUUCGGAUACGUAAAGCUCUGUCCUGGGGGAAGAAACAAAUGACGGUACCCCGGGAGGAAGCCCCGGCUAACUACGUG